GCAUGGCAUGCCCCAGUUUGCUGUGGGCAUUCAUGGUCUCCACCUGUCUUGGAUCCAGCGUGGCCCAGACAGUCACUCAGCCUCAUCCAGAAAUGUCCGUGUGGGAGGCAGAAACUGUGACCCUGGCCUGCACAUAUGCCACUAGUGAUAGUAAUUAUUAUUUGUUCUGGUACAAGCAGCCUCCCAAUGGGGAGAUGAUUGUCAUUAUCCGCCAAGAAUCUUAUAAGCAACAAAAUGCAACAGAAGAUUGCUUCUCUGUGAACUUCCAGAAAGCAAGCGAAAGCUUCAGUCUCAGGAUAUCAGACUGCCAGCUGGAGGAUGCCGCGAUGUAUUUCUGUGCUUUCAGUGGGGCACAGUGA